rnacentral:lncRNA from 9 species
CCCAGGAACUGCACCGACCUUCUUUCCUGGGAAAACUCUUCCCUUCAGAGGCUGGGGGCAGCACGUCAUGAGGUGCAUUUCUAUCCACAGCAUCCUCUCCACGUGAAUGACUGGGAGUAAGUAAUUAUCGGCCUCUGGCGCGGGGAGCUCCAGGUCCCCUCAUCACCCUUGGUGUGUAUGCCGUCUCCGCCUGCCCACAAUUCCCCUCAUUUGGCAGAUGCUGUGCAGACAAGACGCUGUGCAGACAAAUUACUUCCACGACUUCCUGAAAUUAGCAUUUCAGGACUGCAUUCAUCCAAGGCUCUCAGAACUCUUAAUCAACAGGAAUAUGCUAACCUGAGACUGGGUCAUAGAGGGACAGCCUGGAGAUCUGGGUAGAAUGGUGACAGCUGCUGCCCUCUCUCUGAAGAGGAGCGGUGUCGUGCUGGGUGACAGGAGGAAGGAUGAGACGGUCUUUUAAGGUCUCUCCCAAUCUGGGAAGUCUAUGAAUAUCCCUACCAGCUGAGAGUGAUUCUCCAUGCUUUAUUCAUCACGAAAAUGACGCAAAUCCAGAAAAGCAGCUCUUUCAAAGAGCUUCCAGGAACGUCUCUCAUGUGUUUCCAGCUGCUCCAUCUUGUCUUGACACUUGGGGCCAGAAAGCUGUGUGGAGAGGGGAGAGGGGCAGAGGAUCCAGAGGCUGACCUUGGACUUGGGCUGGCCUGCUGGCUGCAGACUGCCCCGCGGCUGCCGCCACCACUUUGUCUCUCCCUCCGCUGCACUCAAGGCCACCAUUGAUCAGCUCGCUGAGCGCUUUACAGCUGCAGCCUUGGACAGGCCUUCGCAGAAAUUGAUUGCAGUCAAUUCCCAGCAGAUUGAGCCACAUCGACUUGUCUCCAGUCCCACCAAUGGGCACCUUGGCUCCCCUUUUUAAUUACUCCAGUAAGCCUUCUGCAUAUCAGCCAGGGUGCAGACGAGAGAGAGAGGAGGAUGCUGAAAUAAAAAAGACUGUGUUUUCUUCACUUGCGCCUAGAAACUUGGUGAUAUGUAUGCACCAUGAAUUUAGUAUGUGAUUAUUAGAGAAUUUGAGUGGAGAAUCAAGAAUCAAGUUGUGUUCGAGACCCAAUUCAGCCAGCCAAUUUGGUACAUUUGGCAAAAUUCACAUAGCUGGGAGCCAGCUUCAUCUCUAAAAUGAGAGACGAAAAUUUGUAAGACCACCUUAAAAACUAUAUACAAAGGUAAAUACAGAUAAAACCCAUUGCCAUGACUACAAAUACUCUGGAGACAAAGAGGGUAAUGAGUGCUGACAUCUAUUGAGCAUUUAGAGGAGCUAAGCAUCAUGAUAAACGCCUUACAAAAUGAUUUAAAUGUUUUCCACAUUUCACUUAAGAGGACACUGAGACUAAAAUUUUAGGCUAUUGUCCAUGUUGAUAAUAUUAGGAAUCUAACCCAGGUUUCUCUGGACACAGAGCUCUUGUUCCUUGUUGUGCACAAAAAAUACCAGGUAGCUUGCAAACCAUUUCCACACCAAUUCCCUUGAAUUUAUGUUCAGCCUUCCAGCCUUCUAUAUGCAUAGUAAGACAUACGUUUGAUACAGGCAUCUUGGUUUGAUAUUCAUGUAAUUAAAAAGUCUCAAUUUUCUUUCUUUCUCAGAAGAAAGGGAAGCCCUGAGCCCCCAGUAUUUACAUAUCUGCAUCUUCGCUUUUAAGAUAAACUGGAAGUAUGGAAUGAUAAUGUUUUCUACCUUGUACGUACAUGGCUCUGUUCGAGGCUUUAAAAUCAUGUUCUGAUUGAUUGUCAUGGUGUGAGCAGCAGGCUACAUGCCUCAAAAUCUCCAGGGGGACUUGUUCAAAAACAUAUUCCCCGUCCCCUCUCAGCAUUAUUUAAUUACAAUUCCUAGAGCAGGGACCCUGGACACUGCAUUUUAACAAGGGCCCCCGCUGAUUCUUGGAAACACUAAUGUUUGAGAACCCCUGUGAGUGAACAUCGUGGUUCAGCCAGAGCCUGAAUUCAAGGCAGUACAUUACCCUCAGCUCAGACCAGCAGGCCCAGCAGGCCUCCAACACCUGCUUUCUUGCACAUAGUAUUGAAUUGCAUUAAGGGAAAUGUACCUGGACCUAGAGAAUGAAUCGUGAUUUGUUAAUGGCCAGCCCCAUUCUUCUUGGCUGGUGAUUGUCUAUGGGUGAGAAUGUGAUCUAAUUCUGCUAAUGUGAAGCAAAGUCUUCCAGGGGUUGGAGAGGUCCUGGGAAACAUUUUCAUUUCUUAUAAAGAAAUAUACAGAAGGAGAAGGCCCUUCACUCAGUAUCCUUGCUACUUUGAACACAAACCUAUGAGGACAGGAUGUCUUGUCACUACGAGCUGACCCACACAAGAAUGAGAAGCCAACAUGGUAAGGGUAACAUCCUUGACAGAAAACUGCAAAGGGUCUAUAUCCUUGAAGACAAGCCUAGAGCCGCUAUACCAAUCCUGAGAUCCACUGACUCUGGUCUAACUGUAUGAAUCAUAAAUGUCCUUUGGGUUAAGCCAUUGUUACUGAAGAGUUAAGUUAUUGUUAGAGUCUUCAUUGCAGCCACAAACAUCUUAAAUUUGUUCUUACAGAGUCUUGAACUUUAACAUUUCUUUCUUCCAAAAAUCUAUGUAGAAAAAUUGUUUUGAGAGUUCCCACUGUGGCACAGUGGGUUAAGAACCUGACUGCAGCGGCUCCGGUCAUGGGUUCAAUCCCUAGCCCAGUGCAUUGGACUAAAGGAUCCUAUGUUGCCACAGCUGUGGCAUAGGUUGCAGUUGUGGCUCAGAUUCAAUCCCUGGCCUUGGAACUUCCAUAUGCUAUGGGUGAGGCCAUUAAAGAAAAUUGUUUUGAAGCUUUAUCAAGACAGCUUGCUUCCUCUCCAGUGGGAGAGUUAGAUAAAGAGAAGUUAACAUGAUCAUUUAACUCUGCUGUCAAAUAACCAAUGUCAUAACUAAUCUUUGGAAGGUUCUAGAUUGCGGCCAGAAUGGAUUCUAUAGAUUAAGGAUCAGCACACUCUGGCCCACAGGUCAAGUCAAGCCCACUGCCUAUUUUGUGAAUUAAGUUUUAUUGGAACGCAGCCACAUUCCUUGAUUUACAUAUUCUACAGGGUUGCUUUUCUGCUACAAUGACAGGGCUGAGCAGUUUCCACAAAUACACUGGCUCCAAAGCUGGAAAUAGACACUAUUUAGCCCUUCACCCCAAAGCAUUUGCUGAUCCCUGAUGUAGAUAAACCAGUUGUUGUUCAGAGAGGAUAUCUGUGUUUUAGAUACCAGAUGGGAAGGGGGCCCUCAGACAACUUUAAGCCUCAGACAUGUACUCCCAUCCAAACAGAUGGAUCACCCACUUCACCACAAGUGUGGAGAGAAUGGGUAUCUUGAAGCAAAACCCGUACAUCUUCCUUCAAAAGGACCUCAAACCUUCCCCCGCUUUGGUCAGGCAGAGGGCAGAGACUAGAAAGACUCAAAUCUUUGCCCAGGCAAGGGGCAAAACCCAUAGGAGGCGUGAACACAGCUAAAAGUAAAGCUGGAUCAACUAGUGAGAUUCAAAAGAGGAUAACAGCAUAAGCCGAGCAGCGUAGUUUCUGGAACUAAAAACCAGAAAUAAUAGGCUUGGGGAAUCAGGGAUGGAGGGUCAGGUGGUCCAACCUAACUCUGAGGGACUAUGGUCUGUGGGUUUGGAAUUGGCCUUUAACUUGUUGUUGAAGGGCUUCCUCUGCCCAUCCUGGUGUACAAAUGACCGCCGUAGUGAAAAGCGAGUGGCUGAGGAAGGACUAGCUUCAUUUCUGUGUAGAACAAGAGAAACUAUGUGAGCCCUAUACAUUUUUUUCUUUAAGGUUUGAAUCACUGGAUAAUCUCCUUAAUCUAGGGAGGAAUUCUGUAGGCACCCAAAUAAAUAUCUUGUUGUAGACAGAAAGACAGGAUGUCUUUAAAGGGACACUUAAGGUCAACAGAGCCCAUGUGGGCCCUGGUUCAUGCAUGCAACCCUGGGUACCAGUUAUUCCUCUGGGGCUGUUCUCUUGUUUGUAAUAUACAGCAGAAGGGGUAUUAAUAAAAAUAUAUGCAGGUGGGCACAUGACUUUCAGGAACACGUGAAAAAGUGCUUUCUAAAUUAUAAAACAUGCUAUACAUGUGAGGAGUCACUGUUAUUACUGAAUAUGACUAUAUCUCAAUAGGCCUGCAGAGUGAAUUGAAUGUGAAAGGGUGCCUAAAAUAGCCAUCUAAAUGAACCUGUUGAAUGGGGAGAAUUCAUAACUCUCUCUAAGAUGUUGGAGAAUGCCUGCCAAGCGGGCUUUUUCUGCUUAGUGUAAUUGACACUGAGGAGCUCCUUGUGACAGUAACUAGCCACCGGAUUGAACCUCUUCCAAAGAGAGUUCCCUGUCAGAAAUAAUGAAACAAUAAUAUCAGCCUGAAUGUGGAUGCCCAUUUUUCUGCUCAUUAGAAGGGAAACCUGUAUGCAGCCUGGUUACCUAAGAGCCCCAAAUAAAAGUUGAAUUGAACACAAAGAUAAAGAACUGUAUCAGGCCAGAAAUGCACCUGCGGGAACUAGGAUGUACAUGGCAGCCCUAUCUGGAACACUGGAAACUACGCUAAUACCCAAAACACUGGAAGGAAUGAGUGAGUUAUGGGACCACUGAGCAGGAGGACACUGGCAGAGGCUACAAGUAUAGGCAGGCCCUGGUACUUUGUCCAAGGAGGUCCGCUCAGACAGAGGGAAACAGGCAGUAUCUGGAUAUGGAGGUCAGAGAAGAGGGAACAGCGUUGGGGACGUUUGACCCUUGAGUGGAAACAAUUCACCCUAUAGUCUCUUUGGGGUUUCUCUCUUUCUAAAGAAACUAAAAUAUCCCCAAAUUCUUAAUCAUGUGGGUAAGCUUGUGUGCUCUGAAUUAGACACAAUCUUUUUUUUUUUUCUUUUUCUAUUGUUUUUCUUUUAUGGCUGCAUCUGCAGCAUAUGGAAGUUCCCAGGCUAGGGGUUGAAUUGGAGCUGUAGCUGCAGGCCUAUGCCACGGCCACAGCCAUGCCAGAUCCAAGCUGCAUUUGCCACCUACACCACAGCUUGCUGCCACGCUGGAUCCUUAACCCACUGAGUGAGGCCAGGGAUCCUGCAUCCUCACAGACACCAUGUCAGGUUCUUAACCCACUGAGCCACAAUGGGAACUCCACAAUCUUUAAAAUAAUACAUGAAUCUGGUAUUGAACUUGAAAGGUGAUAGCUUAUCCAGCCUCCUUUUACUUUCCGACAUACAUAAAGCCUGCUUCCAUGUGUGGUACCCAUGCUGUCUUUCCAGUUUGUUAAGCGCC